rnacentral:rRNA from 1 species
AUACGGAGGGUGCAAGCAUUAAUCGGAAUUACUGGGCGUAAAGGGUACGUAGGCGGUUAAAUAAGUUGGAUGUGAAAGCCCCGGGCUCAACCUGGGAACUGCAUUCAAAACUGUUUGACUAGAGUGUAUGAGAGGUUGGCGGAAUUCCAGGUGUAGCAGUGAAAUGCGUAGAUAUCUGGAGGAACAUCAGUGGCGAAGGCGGCCAACUGGCAUAACACUGACGCUGAAGUACGAAAGCGUGGGGAGCGAACGGGAUUAGAAACCCCAGUAGUCC